UACGGAGGGGGCUAGCGUUGUUCGGAAUGACUGGGCGUAAAGCGCACGUAGGCGGGCGUUCAAGUCGGGGGUGAAAUCCCGGGGCUCAACCCCGGAACGGCCUUCGAUACUGGAUGUCUUGAGGUCUGGAGAGGUGGGUGGAAUUCCGAGUGUAGAGGUGAAAUUCGUAGAUAUUCGGAGGAACACCAGUGGCGAAGGCGGCCCACUGGCCAGAUACUUACGCUGAGGUGCGAAAGCGUGGGGAGCAAACAGG
rnacentral:rRNA from 1 species